rnacentral:tRNA from 1 species
GGCGCCCUAACCACGGGCCAAAACCUGUUCAAAAGACAGGAAGCUGCAGGUUCGAGUCCUGCUAGUGCCA